rnacentral:rRNA from 1 species
AGAUUGAACGCUGGCGGCAUGCCUUACACAUGCAAGUCGAACGGUAGAGUAGCAAUACUUGAGAGUGGCGAACGGGUGAGUAAUAUAUCGGAACGUGCCCAGUCGUGGGGGAUAACGUAGAGAAAUUUACGCUAAUACCGCAUACGAUCUAAGGAUGAAAGCGGGGGACCGUAAGGCCUCGCGCGAUUGGAGCGGCUGAUAUCAGAUUAGGUUGUUGGUGAGGUAAAAGCUCACCAAGCCGACGAUCUGUAGCUGGUUUGAGAGAACGACCAGCCACACUGGGACUGAGACACGGCCCAGACUCCUACGGGAGGCAGCAGUGGGGAAUUUGGACAAUGGGCGAAAGCCUGAUCCAGCAAUGCCGCGUGCAGGAAGAAGGCCUUCGGGUUGUAAACUGCUUUUUGUACGGAACGAAACGGUCUGCUUUAAUACAGUGGCUAAUGACGGUACGUAAGAAUAAGCACGACUAACUACGUGCCAGCAGCCGCGUAA